AUUGCCAAUUUUCAAUUCUAAAACAACCCAGCCCAUGCCUGAAUUCAGGCACAGUGCCUGAACACUUUGAGCCCUGAUUUAUACACUGGUUGGAGUGUAAGUACAUCCACU